rnacentral:rRNA from 1 species
AUUGAACGCUGGCGGCGUGCCUUACACAUGCAAGUCGAACGGCAGCACGGGAGCAAUCCUGGUGGCGAGUGGCGAACGGGUGAGUAAUAUAUCGGAACGUGCCCAGUCGUGGGGAUAACGUAGCGAAAGCUACGCUAAUACCGCAUACGAUCUACGGAUGAAAGCGGGGGAUCGCAAGACCUCGCGCGAUUGGAGCGGCCGAUAUCAGAUUAGGUAGUUGGUGAGGUAAAGGCUCACCAAGCCGACGAUCUGUAGCUGGUCUGAGAGGACGACCAGCCACACUGGGACUGAGACACGGCCCAGACUCCUACGGGAGGCAGCAGUGGGGAAUUUUGGACAAUGGGCGCAAGCCUGAUCCAGCAAUGCCGCGUGCAGGAUGAAGGCC